GAUGACUACAUUCAUUGUGGAAAGUUGAUACGUGUCCAUUUCUUGACACCAUCAUGGAAAAAAUUAUUUAAUAUCCUCACUCUUAAGGAGAAUGGAGGUUGCUGGUCUUAUUAUUCAUCUCAAUUCAGGUCUGGCAAUCUCAGAGCUUCUUAAGCAAUCCCUCAGCGAAAACUCUCUCAUCAGCUUUUCAUUAGCAAUAAAAAUAGCUUUCCUGCCACCUUCUGGGAAAUAAUUUACCAUAGAACCACUAAGCUGUGAGGAACUUCUGCAGAUCAUCUAAUCAAGGGCAUCUGCUGUUAACAAGGCACGGAAUGGAUGGACUAUUUUAGACUCCUCUGGGUGCCAGAAAACUACACAC